AUUGAACGCUGGCGGCAGGCCUAAAACAUGCAAGUCGAACGAGUGGCGGACGGGUGAGUAAUGUCUGGGAAACUGCCUGAUGGAGGGGGAUAACUACUGGAAACGGUUGCUACUACCGCAUACCAUCGGAUGUGCCUAGAUGGGAUUAGCUAGUAGGUGGGGUAAAGGCUCACCUAGGCGACGAUCCCUAGCUGGUGUGAGAGGAUGACCAGCCACACUGGGACUGAGACACGGUCCAGACUCCUACGGUAGGCAGCAGUGGGUAAUAUUGCACAAUGGGCGCAAGCCUGAUGCAGCCAUGCCGCGGUUAUGAAGAAGGCCUGCGGGUUGUAAAGUACUGUCAUCGGGGAGGCGUUACCCGCAGAAGAAGCACCGGCUAACUCCGUGCCAGCAGCCGCGGUAAUUC
rnacentral:rRNA from 1 species